rnacentral:tRNA from 1 species
GUGGUUAUAGCUCAGUGGUGGAGCACAUGCUUAGCAUGCAUGAGGUCCUGGGUUCAAUCCCCAGUUCCUCCA